ensembl:lncRNA
AAUUGCUGCAACAUUAGUGACACUGCCUUCUAGAGGUACGAGGAAGUUCAACACAAACCUGGCCAAUCCCAAGGCAGUAUCAGGGUGGGUUUUGUUCGAGUUUCUCCAUCUGCAAUCCAGCAGCAUAGCCUUCUGUGGGAGAUUCACCCAGAGGGACUGAAAUGCUUAAGGGGGAAGAAAAAGAAGAAGGAACCCAAUGCUGUCACUUUGGAAAGCUUUUACUGUAAUCAACCUUACAACGUGUUUUGUUAUACGAUACAAAGAAGGUUUAAUCUCUCUUGCCUAGCACACUCCCUCCAGGGUUUUACUGCUUACAAAGGGAGCUUUCACUUUGACUGUGGCAAAAAUAGUGUCAAACCCCAUUGUGAGGUACUGCUUUUAGUCUGGAUUCAUUUGGGAAGUUCUGAAGAAUCUGUGACUUCAUGAAAUAUGUGAAAAAAGCAGGACUGCUUCUGAAGAGUGACAUUUCCUAUACUUUUUGCCUCCCAUUAAUAUAAUUUCUAAAAGGCGUUUCAUUUUGCUGUUGCAAAUCCUUGCACAGUUCACGAUCUGAAUGAUUAUAAAAAUAACAGUGAGUGAAGAUUUCCAUAACUCUUGUUUGUCAUAAAUGUUCUGCAAACAUGUUCUGGAUGUGCAGACUCCAGGUAUUCCGGGUACAAAAGGAGAAGUCAAACGGAGGUCUUAGAGUGAAGCCACUGACCUGGGGCUCAGAACUGCUGAGCUCCAUCUAUAGAACUGAAACUUUGAGUUUUUCUUCUGUUUUGGGGCGGUGAUGGGUUUUUUAUGGUUUUGUUUUCAUGUUGAUGUAAAGGGAAGAAAAACAAUUUGUACAUAAUGAGCUCUGGCCUGAAUAUUUUCUAAAGCUCAAGCCAAGUGCAAGCCCUGACUGCUGGAAAAGGUUAUUAGAAAGUUGCAAUGCAAGAAAUUCCACUGUACUUCCAAAUUUUUGCCAGGCCUGAUGACAGAUGGAAACUUCCCAAGAGGAUUUGGCUUUGUUCACACAGAGCCAAACAAGUGAUUUCCAUCUGGAUCACUUUGUUGUGAUUGAGAAAAGUAAGCAAUGAACAAGAAGCAUCUCUCCUGAUGAAAGGAGCACAGUGAAACACCACAUGGUCAGCAAUGCACAUGUCCUGCAGCAGGAACCACAGACACCUCUUCUGUCAGGAGAAGCCCCGUGAAACAGAAUAAAUUUGUCAUUACAUUACUUUCUCUGCUUGUAGUAUCAGCACUCUCCAGAUUAAGCAGGACUUUCGGAUAAACAUCUGAAUGUUUCUAUCUGACCGACCUGUACAAAGCUAGGCCUGUGGGCGCAGCCCUCUGCCAGGGGUUGGCAUACAAAGGGUGUCAUAAAUAGAAAAGAAAGUGUGUUGAGUCCUGCUGACAGCCAGCUGCCCAACCUGACACCGUACUGCUGGGACCUCACGCCAUCAUUCUCUUGCAGGCCUUGUUUUGGCCAAUCCACACUAGCAGUCAUUGGGCUGAAGUUUUCUUUGUCUCUCAGGAUGGAGAAAUUGGACUGAUUCCUCAGACAAGGAAGAGAGCCAGGCACCAAAUCCCGAGAUCUGGAUCUGCAAUCACUGCCUGGUCAGGCUGGAAUGAAUAAUCCAGCUGUAAUGGGGUGUGGGAAUGUGUGCAGCAUGCCUUUUUUUAAACUUUUGAUACUUUGCAGAAGAGGCACACCUUACAUCAGCCAGGCCUUACAGAAAGUUCAGUUCAAAGUUUUUGGCUUUUUCUGCGUCUUUUGAAUGAAACAAACACAGAUUACAUAGUUUUAAAUUCCCCAUCCUAUCUACACAGGCUCAUUUGCUGUCAUGUUUAGCUACUUGUAGAAAAGAAGAAACACUACCCCUUUAAUUCUUCAAAUAGGUUACUAGGAAAACAUUAGCAUUUUUGCAAAAUAUAUUGGGUUGACUGUUUUGGUUUAUUUUUGCUGAGAGCAGACUGGAUUGACUACAGAAAGGUUGGCAAGUGGAAAGUACAAAGUCUCUUUAUAAAAGUGAUCUGAGGAGCAGGAGCACGCACCUAGGAAAUCUUUGUUGAUUGUUGCUAAUAUCUAUGAUAAUUAAGCUAAAAAUAUCCACAAAGCAAUAGAAUUUGCAGAGACGACUCUAUUGUCUUAAGCAAAUAAUGAAGCAGGGAACAGUUAAAUUGAUCCCACAACUCCCAUUUCAAUAACAAAGCAGCAACAACUGUUAAUCUAUAGCACUCACUUUAGAUUACAAACCUAACACUGAACAGGCAAUUUCAUUAGUGAGAAUACAGCUGAGAGAGAAAUGCCGGCAGGGAAAAAAGCCAUCCCUGUUGAAAUCAAAGCAUCCUGAGAAUUUCUUGCUGCUGUGUACCCAGAAGUGCAAUCAGGGAAAAGUUCUGAAGAUAUCAGGUACAGCUAUAGGAAGCAGUUCCCUUUUGUUUUGCCCUGAAGGCUGUCAGAACACAGCCUGCUGACCGAUCUCACCAACCCAGGUUUUUCCUUUUUAUUCUUGUCCCCCAGCUCAACACAUUCUCUGAGAGCCAACCAACCCCCAAGCUCACCCACAGAUACCAGCACUGCCUGGAAGAGAGAGUUCUCUUUUAAAAUUAGCUCCUUUCAGACGCUUGUACAAACCCAUAGAUAUCACAGGGCCUGCAGAGCCAGUGCCAAGGAACAUCCCCAGAGUGAUGCUGCCAAUGAAGGAGGGAAGGCUCAUUCCCCAUCAGUGCUGGCAGCUGUGGGGACCUUAUGGGAGUCAGAACUUUCUGUUCUCACUGAAGGUAGCAGGCAGGACUAUAAAUAUCCACAUAGAACAUAUUUACUGAAGGAUUGAGUGCUGUAAGAACACAUUUUAGAGGUAAUAGCAGCUACUGAGAUAAAAUCAAAGAACCACAUAAUAAUGGAGGUGAGAAGGGACCUCUGAAAGCACCUACUCCAGCCUCCUGCUCAAAUCAGAGCCAACUUCCAUUACAGGGUGUGCUGCCUGCGACCGUGGCCAGCUGUGUUCUGACAGAUCUCAGGGAUGGAGAGCCCACAGCCUUUCCAAGGAAGCUGUUUCUGUGUUGCAUAACCUUCAUUCUGAUGAAUUUUUUCCUCAGAAUGUACGUCUACUAUCUCAUCAUUUUGCAGCACGCUGCUGCAGAGAGUCUGACUCCAGCUUCACUACAAUAUCAUUGAGGUAAUGGAAGACGGCAAUUAGAAGUCCCAUUAGCCAACCUUCUCCAGGCUAAACAAACUCAGCACCCUUAGACUCUCCUAAUACAUCUCCUGAACAUCUUAUUGACCCUUGACUAGACGUGCUCCCAUUUUUUGACCUGUCAGUUGCACUGGAACAGUCUUCCAACUGUGAGUUGCAAUCUCACAAGUGCAGAGCUGAGGUUAAUGAUGGACCUGUUGGCUACAUUCAUAUGCAGCCAGGCUUCAUUACCCUAAGCACACACUGCUCAUAACCACUUUGUGGUCCACCAGGACCCCAGGUCCUUUCUGCAGAGCUUCUCCCAUUCAGUCCAUAUUGUUGAUGUAUCUCAGAGGCAGGACCAGCUGUGCUUGCCCUCAGGAUGAGAUUCUUGCUAGCCUAUUCUUCAAGCUUGUUAAGAUCUUUGCCUUUCUUUGAUAACAGACCUUAGAAGUUUGGGUAACAUUUUCUGCAUGUGCUCAUGAAAAGAAAAAAAAUGAAUAAAGAGAGAAAAAAAAGAAGAAAAAAAAGGAGUAAAUAUAGGACUUUUGUAUAUAUGUGCAAACUCACAAGUGUUAUGCUGUUUUGUACCACCACCCUACAUUCCUUACAAUACUACUAGAGGCCAAGGAAAACGGAAAUCCCAGCUGACAUCAACAGGAGUUUUUACUGGCUGCAAUGACCUUGAAGAUAGUCCAGACAUGUAAAGCAUAACAGCAGGAAUCAGGAUGUCAGCAUUAGCACUGGGAUGGAAUUGAUUAACAUGAUUUUUCUAGAAAGGAAGGAAGAUAAGUUGCUGCUUUUGAGUGGGGGACUUGAAAUCUAUAACUAAUAUUCCUGACUGAAAUUCUGUUAGCAAAAUUUAUGACACAGAUGGGAAUCACAUUUUUCUUCAGAUAAGAACACUUCUUGUAGUCAUUCACUCUGUAUUUCAUGAGACACUAGCAGAUACAGUGAGCUAUUUCACUCUAUUUCUGCUUAUAGAGCAUCCUGACUUUUCGACACUUCAAAAACUGUAUAUAUUGUGAUGACUAUAUAGACAACCUCAAUGAAAGUCUACUACUGCAUGCUUAAUAAUUCACUUGUAUCCAAAUGGAAAUAUUCAUUGCAGCAUUAGCAAAGGCUGUUCUAAGUCAUGCAGUGGCUGUUCACCAAAUUUAACUUCCCAUGCCCAGAUUCUUGUAAGAAUUUCUCCUAUACAUUGCAUCUCCUUUAUUGCUUUAUUGCAGGAGCUUAGAAAAAACGCUGCCCUUCCAUAAUGGAAUUUUUCUCCUCCCUUGUUGCAGUUGCGUAUGCAUUUUACAAGUACACAAUGACUGUGCUGCUUUAACUUUGUUACAAUACUCGGGGAAUAAUUAGUUCUGUAUCUUCUAACAAAGAACAAAUGUAUUUGUUCAAAAAUUAAAUAUUUACUUUCCUAAGAGCCAUCAUAAGUUGUUGUGAGUGCUUGUCUACAUUAUGUGUGGAAAAUUAAAUAUACUCUGUAUAAUAAUUCUGCUGGUAUAAUAAAGGAUUAUGCAUGACAAGGGAAA